UUGCUCCGCAACGCACUUUCUGCUUUGUUUUAUUGACCGGCCCUGGGCUGGAGCCUGGGAACUGCAGCGCAGAAUCAGAGGCUGAUUUGAUCAGUAGAUUUCAGAGUCUGCUAUCGAUCAUUUGUAUUCACUCCAAGAGGGGUUCAGAAGAAAUUAAUGAGAAGCUGGAGUUACUGUUGGUGUGCAAACUUUUGAAAAAAAAGCAAUAAAAACAGAUGCACAGCAAAUGGAUACAUGAUACUUGAAAGACCCCAGGACCUUAAUGAAGAAACACCAUGCUGACUAUUCAGCUCCCCCUUUGCAGUCCCCGUUAUUGGUAAUGGGCAUAGGUAAAGGGUCUGUGAGGAUCUGUACAUGUGUACUGUUUCUUAAAAUAUUUGGUGGAAGCCCGGUAGGGUGGCCCUAGGGGAAGGAUGUGGGCAGAAGCUCUCCACCAUGGCAGAAUAUUUUUAAGGAUAACUGUUUUCUGUUAUUCUAAUAAAGUUCCUUCUUUGAUGCUAGAAGAACUCUUUUUCU